GUACCGCAGCAGGCUGCCGCUCCCCUUCACCGGCAACGGCCAUACAUCGCCGAAUAAGGUGGCGACAAUUCAAAGCCCCCCGAAGUGUACCCAGCAGGCUUAUCAAUCCGACCGAGGCCACUUGCGGGCGUCGAAAACCCCAUCUUUAGUCUGUCUGACGCUAAGCUGGAUGACGCUAUCGAGGACAUGAGUGAGCGAGAGACGCUCCCCGACAGUCCGGCAGCCUCUUUGCGAAACGGUAGCAUAAACAACAGUAACGGACACCUACCGAAUGGUAUGGGGCUAUCCGAUGGCAGGCUGGAGCCGCUUCGCAAUGGGACGAUCACUUCAUCGGAUGGCCCGUUACUAAGAGGCAAUGGAAAGCUGCUAAACAUCCAGUGGCCCGUUGCAUCCAUUCCUAUGGAUUGGAAGAACCUGAACUGGGAGGAUGACCAGCCUAACAAGACGGCCCUGGAUCCGGAUUUCAGUGUAACACCACUCACGACUUCCAGCCUCUCUACUGACCACAACGAACUAACAGUGUACUUCUAGGUCAACAUCCUCUGCGACACAUCCUCUGUGAAGCUGGGGUGCACGUGACGUCACCAGACGUUUGCAACUUUUGGAGCUCAAGCAUACGCACGUGUUUCACAUGAACAUGGUUCUGAUUGACUUAUGAGACAUCCUGCUCCCGACGCUUCGGAUCACAGAUGCACCGCAAGCGUUGUCUCCUUUUCAAGGCUCACUGAACAUUCCUGCAGUGACACCAUCGUCUUCCUCAAGAGCAAGCGCCAUACAUUGAAGUGGUGUUGUGCGGAAAAACUUCUAGUGUGCAGCCGCAGUGUUUGGGCUAUUUCAACGUUGAGGUGGAAUAGACAUGCCGCCCGAGCUACUUUUCUCAUAGUGCUACUGUGAGUGUAUAUAUAAAGAGUAUUAUGGCUGUGCUCCCACUCGCCAGCAAUACCUUCUUCAAUGACCAAGUUGGACACUUCCAAAGUGCUUCAAGGAUAGUGACGACGGUACCAGUGUCUUGUUUCAGUGCGAACAAUUGAUGUCUGUAAAAACGAUGCAAUUUAUAAGUUUUCAUAACCUUGCACGAAAGCGAAUUGUAGGAAAAAAUUACCGAUUAUAAAGUAUGUGCAAGAAACGGUAGGUAAAAGUUCCAAAGCAUUGUCUAAGCUUUGUGGUCGAGAGUAUUUCAUGUAUCCAUGCCACUGACUGACGAUGUUCACUAAGAAGAAGCCUGCGACAAUCGCUUUGUAUAAGAGGUAGAAGAAUGAAAAGGGAAAAGAGAUCUCCACAACGGCAUGAAUAAAUGAUGAGAACAACAUGAGCACAU